rnacentral:rRNA from 1 species
GUUUGAUCCUGGCUCAGAGUGAACGCUGGCGAUGUGCUUAACACAUGCAAGUCGAGCGGAUUGAAUUGGUGCUUGCACUAAUUCAGUUAGCGGCAGACGGGUGAGUAAUGCAUGGGAAUCUGCCCUAUAGUGCGGGAUAACUACUGGAAACGGUAGCUAAAACCGUAUACAGCCGAGAGGUGAAAAAUUUAUUGCUAUAGGAUGAGCCCAUGUGGGAUUAGCUAGUUGGUGAGGUAAUGGCUUACCAAGGCUUUGAUCCCUAGUUGGUCUAAGAGGAUGAUCAGCCACACUGGAACUGAGAUACGGUCCAGACUCCUACGGGAGGCAGCAGUGGGGAAUAUUGGACAAUGGGCGAAAGCCUGAUCCAGCGACAUCGCGUGAAUGAUGAAGGCCUUAGGGUUGUAAAGUUCUUUUAGUGGGGAAAAUAAUGAUGGUACCCACAGAAAAAGCCCCGGCUAACUUCGUGCCAGCAGCCGCGGUAAUACGAAGGGGGCUAGCGUUACUCGGAAUUAUUGGGCGUAAAGCGUGCGCAGGCGGCCACGUAAGUUGGAAGUGAAAUCCUUAGGCUUAACCUAAGAACUGCUUUCAAAACUACUUGGCUUGAGUACCAGAGAGGAUAGUGGAAUUCCUAGUGUAGAGGUGAAAUUCGUAGAUAUUAGGAGGAACACCGGUGGCGAAAGCGACUAUCUGGCUGGAAACUGACGCUGUUGCACGAAAGCGUGGGGAGCAAACAGGAUUAGAUACCCUGGUAGUCCACGCAGUAAACGAUGAGUGCUAGAUAUUAGGGUAUAUCCUUAGUAUCGCAGCUAACGCGUUAAGCACUCCGCCUGGGGAGUACGGCCGCAAGGCUAAAACUCAAAGGAAUUGACGGGGACCCGCACAAGCGGUGGAACAUGUGGUUUAAUUCGAUGCUACGCGAAAAACCUUACCAGGUCUUGACAUGCUAAUCAUAUUCUUAGGAAACUAAGAAGUCGGUUCGGCCGGAUUAGCACAGGUGCUGCAUGGCUGUCGUCAGCUCGUGUCGUGAGAUGUUGGGUUAAGUCCCGCAACGAGCGCAACCCUUACCCUUAGUUACCAACAGAUAAUGCUGGGCACUCUAAGGGGACUGCUAGCGAUAAGCUAAAGGAAGGUGGGGAUGACGUCAAGUCAGCAUGGCCCUUAUGACCUGGGCUACACACGUGUUACAAUGGUAGUAACAACGAGAUGCAAUAGGGUGACCUGGAGCAAAUCUUUAAAUACUAUCUCAGUCCGGAUUGCACUCUGCAACUCGAGUGCAUGAAGUCGGAAUCGCUAGUAAUCGCAGAUCAGCAUGCUGCGGUGAAUACGUUCCCGGGUCUUGUACACACUGCCCGUCACGCCAUGGGAGUUGGUUUUGCCUUAAGCAUGUGAGCUAACCGAAAGGAGGCAGCAUACCACGGCAGGGUCGAUGACUGGGGUGAAGUCGUAACAAGGUA